rnacentral:lncRNA from 1 species
CUUUUUGCGAUUGGUCGAUUCUGGAGGUGUGUUCUCCACGUGAGCUGGUAUAAACAUGGCAGCUGAUGUUUUGAGAGAAAUACAGCGUUGGGAAAUUGACUAGAUGCAUCGUUAUUGACGGAAACUGGACGAAGUAAUUAUAGCAGCAUAAGUACCGAUUCGUAUUAAAGCAUGGACAGACGAACUGAUGGAAGUAGUAAAACUAUAAACCCUCUAGUGAAACAGCUUUAUGUGAGAUAUCGCUCACAUGUCAAAAAGUCGGACAUUAGUUUGGCGAGAGGAAAAGUAGCUCACUCACUGAAAAUAAUGCCUAGAGGUUAGAAAAUGAUGUAGAAGAAACAGUGAGAAAUACCGGCGACGGCUUGAUAGCAGCAUGUUUCAUAUGAGCAGAUGGCGUCAGCGAGUAGGACUUGCAUCGCAGGAAAGGACUUAGGACUUCAAUCGAGGGAAAGGACGGACGGACUGACUGGUGGAGCUGACGGACUGGUGGAGGAGAUAAUAAUAACAUGACACCUGCUGACCCACUGAUGAUGGCGUCAGCGAAUAGGACUUGCAUCGCCGUAAAAUGGACUUAGGACUUCAACCGAGGGAGAAGACGGACUGGCUGAGGGACUGGUGGAGCUGACGGACUGGCUGAGGGACUGGUGGAGCUGACGGACUGGCUGAGGGACUGGUGGAGCUGACGGACUGGCUGAGGGACUGGUGGAGCUGACGGACUGGUGGAGCUGACGGAGCUAACGGACUGGUGGAGGAGAUAAUAAUAACAUGACAUCUGCUGACCCACUUAUGAUGGCGUCAGCGAAUAGGACUUGCAUCGCCGUUAAAUGGACUUAGGACUUCAACCGAGGGAGAAGACGGACUGGCUGAGAGACUGGUGGAGCUGACGGACUGGCUGAGGGACUGGUGGAGCUGACGGACUGGCUGAGGGACUGGUGGAGCUGACGGACUGGUGGAGCUGACGGACUGGUGGAGGAGAUAAUAAUAACGUGACACCUGCUGACCCACUUAUGAUGGCGUCAGCGAAUAGGACUGGCAGCGCCGUAAAAUGGACUUAGGACUUCAACCGAGGGAGAAGACGGACUGGCUGAGGGACUGG